AUACAUAGAUACUUAGCUAGCUGAUAUAACACGAUUGUGUCCAAUGCUUUACAGUACACCAAAAUGCUACCUAAAGAUAGUUGUGAGUAUAGCACAUGAAUUCAGUGUUUUUGCGAGAUAGCUAACUGCAGUGGCUCAUCAUGGGCAAAACAAUAGACUAUUAACGUUAGUUAAACCUAUGUUUAUUACACGUGCUAAGCUCAUCUGUGCGUGUGUGUUUGUGCUUGCAUUGGUGUGUGUGUGUGUGUGUGUGUGUGUGUGUGUCUUUGUGUGUGUGAGAGAGAGAGAGACUCUAGGAGGAACCAUGGCUAAUAAGGUGAAAUGGGUGACCGACAUUGAGAAAUCCGUACUCAUCAACAACUUUGAGAAGAGAGGAUGGACUCAGGUCACAGAGAGCGAGGACUGGAACUUCUACUGGAUGAGCGUCCAGACCAUCCGGAACGUGUUCAGUGUGGACACGGGUUACCGUCUCUCGGACGAGCAGAUGGUCAACCACUUCCCCAACCACUACGAGCUGACCAGGAAGGACCUGAUGAUCAAGAACAUCAAACGCUACCGCAAAGAUAUGGAGAAGGAGGGAAGCCCGCUGGCCGAGAAAGACGAAAACGGGAAAUACCUUUAUUUAGACUUUGUGCCGGUGACGUUCAUGCUUCCGGCAGAUUAUAAUCUGUUUGUGGAGGAGUUCCGUAAGAGUCCCUCCAGCACGUGGAUAAUGAAGCCGUGUGGGAAGGCUCAGGGAAAAGGCAUCUUCCUCAUCAACAAACUUUCCCAGAUCAAGAAGUGGUCCCGAGACAGCCGUACCUCCACGUUUGUAGCAGCCUCAAGUGGCAAGGAGGCCUAUGUCAUCUCUCUGUACAUCGACAACCCACUGCUGAUCGGAGGCAAGAAGUUUGACCUGCGUCUCUAUGUGUUGGUUACCACCUAUCGACCUCUCAAGUGUUACAUGUAUAAACUGGGUUUCUGCCGGUUUUGCACAGUGAAGUACACCCCCAGCACUAGUGAACUGGACAACAUGUUUGUGCACCUGACCAAUGUGGCCAUUCAGAGACAUGGGGAUGACUAUAACCAUGUCCACGGUGGGAAGUGGACGGUCAGUAACCUGCGUCUGUACCUGGAGAGCACCAGGGGGAAGGAGGUGACCAGCCGACUGUUUGACCAGAUCCACUGGAUUAUGGUGCAGUCCCUAAAGGCUGUCGCUCCCGUCAUGAACAACGAUAAACAUUGCUUUGAGUGUUAUGGAUAUGACAUCAUCAUCGAUGACAAGCUGAAGCCAUGGCUUAUUGAGGUCAACGCUUCUCCGUCGCUCACCUCCAGCACAGCCAACGACCGGAUUCUGAAGUACAAUCUGAUCAAUGACACGCUCAACAUCGUCACACCCAACGGGGACAUUCCCGACUGCCGCUGGAACCGCAGCCCACCCCGAGAGGCCCUGGGCAACUACCAAGUCCUGUGAGUGACAGCCCCCUCCUCCUAUCACAGCCAGCGCUCGAGGGAGAAAACAGGCCUGGGGCUUGUUCAGCAGGACGCAGCGUUUUGGAAUAUUUAGAUAGAAAUAUCCUAUGCUUCUCUGACAUGUAGAAUAAGGAAUCAAGUCGGAUCUAAUCAUGGCAUUUCUAUCUGCAACAUUUGACAACGUUUGACUACGGAAUGUGGCCCAGGGUACGACGAGGAGCAGGCGCUGAGCGAGAAUGCAGAACGCGACCUACGGAGUCGCUCAGGCCAGUCGCUGGGGUCUAAGGGAACGGCGAAGGGGGGCACCGGGCCUCGCCCAGCUGCCGCCACCUGGAAGUGAGGUGGUAAUGUCCAACGCCUCACUGUCCCUUCACUGACCUCUCACUGACCUCUCGUUGCUCUUCCUGUGUCAUGGUGGAAAGGGGGUUGGGGGCAAGGGACGACCCAGACAGAGGGAUGGAAGGAUGACAGGGAGGGAGGGAGAGGACCCAGUAAGCUCUGAGCACCCUGCCAUGCAUCACAAGCAAGGACACGUGUGUGUCAGAAAAGAAAGGGUCACACACACUCACAUUUAGCAGAAACUCUGUAUAAUACAUGAGAUAAUAGCAUUUAUCAGCCUUUUAUAUAGCAAUGGGAAGGGGUUGUUCUCAGAUGACUGUUAGAGGAUUUCAAUCAAUGCACCUGUAUGAAUAAUGUUUACAUAUAUUGUUGUGGAAUUGUUUUACUUGAAUGUUUUUUAUGUUUUCAAGCAGAAUAUUUGCUAGGUUAAGACACAUUGACGUGUGUAAUUAUUCUGUUCAUGUCUGAAAACCGACAGGUUUCACCUCUUUAUUCUGAAAUGCAUGACCCGAAAAGCAUUUGCUAUUUGUUGACUGUAUAAAACAUAGUGUAAUGGACAAUGCUAACAACAAACGAAAGUAAGACUGGAAAGUGAGCUUUGAAGCGUUUGCUUUUCAAGCCACUGGAGUAGGCUAUAAAGUGUAUAAGGCUACAGUAUGCAUAGGACAGUCAAUGUAUUGGAAUUACUUUUAUAAAACUGAGAGACUUGUUCAAUGUUUGGUUAUACAACUUUACUUUUGAGUUGUUACUCAUAAGUUCAACUUUGGGAUAAAGACAUGCUUUCACAGUUAAAUAUCUCGAUAUAAAGUGAUGAGGUCAGCUCUUCAAACAUUGAAGUACCUUUAAUUUUGUGUUGUGGAUGACAUUGCCAUGCCAACAAAUAUUUUCCUGUGGUGUGACCUUGGAGGGGUGACCUCUAAACCAGGGUUGCAUCCCCAAGGGCAUCCUAUUACCUAUGGGCCCUGGUUAAAAGUAGUGCACUAUAUAGGGAAUAGGGUGCCAUUUGAGACACUGACCAGCACACCCUUGGUCUGCCUGUGUGUUUAAGAUAAUCCCAUUCUGGUCACAGUGUGUGGUCACCUCGAGCGGUUGGCAUACAAGAGACUAAAGCUGAAGUGGCUACUGAGCUACAACAGACUGAACCAUUCUGGUUGUGUGAAAGUGAAGAUUAUGUAAUAAUCCAUAGAGUAUCUUUAUUAAUUUCUUAUAUACAGUACCAUACAUCCCACCUCACUGUGGUCCCCAGAGUUGUUAAAGGGAUAGUUCACCAAAAGGAAACCAAUAUGUAAUUUGGGUGAAUUAUCACUUUAACAGUCAUCAUUAGGUUUUGCCUUUAAUGAUGUGGACUUUUUUGUAUAGAAGACUGUACCAUGUUUUAUUUAUACUAAUAUGGUUCUGCUGUCUUUGUCUUACAGAUGGUUUUAGUACACAAUGAAAUAUACACUGUUACAUUGAAAUAAUGUAUUUUGAUGUACUUUUGACAGUAUUUGGUUAUGCAUUUCAUGUCAUCCUUUUACCCUCAUUCUUUGUUGCAUACAGGUAGUUGCAAUUAUAUAUUUUUUAUAUACAUGAACUGAAUAUAGGAAUUAUAACAUGCAAUGUUUUUGGUUUUUAAAUGUAUUAAUAAUUCCUGGUGCCUCAAAUGUCUGCAUGUAAUAAAUCCAAUUAAACAAUG